GUGGGGAAUUUUGGACAAUGGGCGCAAGCCUGAUCCAGCAAUGCCGCGUGCAGGAAGAAGGCCUUCGGGUUGUAAACUGCUUUUGUACGGAACGAAACGGUCCUGGUUAAUACCCGGGGCUAAUGACGGUACCGUAAGAAUAAGCACCGGCUAACUACGUGCCAGCAGCCGCGGUAAUACGUAGGGUGCAAGCGUUAAUCGGAAUUACUGGGCGUAAAGCGUGCGCAGGCGGUGCUGUAAGACAGGCGUGAAAUCCCCGGGCUUAACCUGGGAAUUGCGCUUGUGACUGCAGUGCUGAAGUGCGGCAGAGGGGGAUGGAAUUCCGCGUGUAGCAGUGAAAUGCGUAGAUAUGCGGAGGAACACCGAUGGCGAAGGCAAUCCCCUGGGCCUGCACUGACGCUCAUGCACGAAAGCGUGGGGAGCAAACAGGAUUAGAAACCCGGGUAGUCC
rnacentral:rRNA from 1 species